UACAAGUGAUGAGAUUCUUAUAACUAACUUCCCAGAAUAUAAUGACGGUAGAAACCGAGCUUUUUAACACUGAUGUAU